rnacentral:rRNA from 1 species
UACGAGGGGUGCAAGCGUUAUUCGGAAUUAUUGGGCGUAAAGGGUGCGUAGGUGGUAUAUUAAGUCAAUUGUUAAAUUCCCCGGCCUAACCGGGGGUAUGCGGUAGAAACUGAUAUGCUAGAGGGUGGAAGAGAGAAGUGGAAUUCUCGGUGUAGCGGUAAAAUGCGUAGAUCUCGAGAGGAACACCAAUGGCGAAGGCAGCUUCUUGGUCCACACCUGACACUGAGGCACGAAAGCGUGGGGAGCAAACAGGG